CUAAAAUUAAUUCUAAUUCAAUCUGAUGGUUUAGAGAAGUAUCAAACAAAUAUUUCGAGAUGUCAUCUUUUCAGUUGGAUGUUGUCCUAUACAUAUAUUAUUGGUAUCACCUGUGAAGGAAAAUACGCAUGACAAACGCUUUUCUCGUGCGAUACAGUGGAACGCCAUCAUAUUGAUAAUAUAGUUCUACCUAUAAAAAUUGUAAACAAUUUUUCUAUGAAUAAAGAAGUUUAAUUUAAA